rnacentral:rRNA from 1 species
AUUGAACGCUGGCGGAAUGCUUUACACAUGCAAGUCGAACGGCAGCACGGACUUCGGUCUGGUGGCGAGUGGCGAACGGGUGAGUAAUACAUCGGAACGUGCCCAGUCGUGGGGGAUAACGUAGCGAAAGCUACGCUAAUACCGCAUACGAGUUAACGAUGAAAGCGGGGGAUCGCAAGACCUCGCGCGCUUGGAGCGGCCGAUGGCAGAUUAGGUAGUUGGUAGGGUAAAGGCCUACCAAGCCGACGAUCUGUAGCUGGGCUGAGAGGAUGAUCAGCCACACUGGGACUGAGACACGGCCCAGACUCCUACGGGAGGCAGCAGUGGGGAAUUUUGGACAAUGGGCGCAAGCCUGAUCCAGCCAUUCCGCGUGCAGGAUGAAGGCCUUCGGGCUGUAAACUGCUUUUGUACAGAACGAAAAGGCUCUGGUUAAUACCCGGGGCUCAUGACGGUACUGUAAGAAUAAGCACCGGCUAACUACGUGCCAGCCGCCGCAGUAA